UAUCGUGCGGUUGAUGACUAAAGAUAUUGUGUCUAAUGGGGGUCUGUACUGUUUGUCAAGUCACAACAAGGACCUCAGACAGACAGUAGUUUACGCAAUAUGCAUGCAGCUCCAAGUAAUGCUGCCUUUUGCAAUACAUCUAGAUUCCAGAAUGUUUCUUUA